rnacentral:rRNA from 3 species
GUAGUCAUAUGCUUGUCUCAAAGAUUAAGCCAUGCAUGUCUCAGUACAAGCCAUAUUAAGGUGAAACCGCGAAAGGCUCAUUAAAUCAGUUAUGGUUCCUUAGAUCGUACCCACAUUUACUUGGAUAACUGUGGUAAUUCUAGAGCUAAUACAUGCAAACAGAGCUCCGACCGGAGACGGAAGGAGUGCUUUUAUUAGAUCAAAACCAAUCGGCGGCAAUUGGGUUUACUUAAUUGUUCGUCGCACUUUUUG